AUUGCGGCCUUGGUGACUUUCCUUGGCCCCGUCUGUCUGAGUGCCGGAUA
rnacentral:rRNA from 1 species